GAUCAUUAAAAACGCUGAUUACAAAAUCUCUGGAUUGGAUGUACUAUCAUGCACUAUAAAAAGCAUUGAAAUCCUUUCAGACUCUAGUUCGCUUUUACCGAAUUCAAAUACAAAAACAAAUGUUAGCUACGGCUUCGUGUUUUUGUCGGCUACCUUUUUUUCACACGUCUUAUUUAUAAACGAAAAUAAUUUGUUUUAAUUUUUUGUCUUGUGACGAAGUACGAAUCCAAUACCUCUUAGUAUAUAUAAACGUAUCGAAAUAUUUAUCGAAUCAUCUCAUAGCAAUUUGCAAAGAACAAAAAUAUAUGAGCGGUUACCACCAAGAUGGACGAGAAGCGCGUUGUAUUAAGUGUCGUAGUUGAAUAAUAGAUGAUGAUCAUCAGUCAAAGAGUUACAUAAUGAUACCAUGUAGUCAUGGUUGGUAUAGUGAAAAUUGCAUUAAGGAAGAUAAGUGUUCAAUAUGUUCCAAGAAAAAAAAAAAUUAUGUGUAAAAUUGAAAAAACAAUAUUUAUAUUAGCAACACUAAUAACAGACCGAUGCUACCAAACAUACUGAUAUGAUAAGGGGAGGUGAGUGAACGAGACCAAGUAAACGC